rnacentral:rRNA from 1 species
CCUACGGGUGGCUGCAGUGGGGAAUAUUGGACAAUGGGGGCAACCCUGAUCCAGCCAUGCCGCGUGUGUGAAGAAGGCCCUCGGGUUGUAAAGCACUUUCAGUGAGGAAGAACGCCUGGUGGUUAAUACCCAUCAGGAAAGACAUCACUCACAGAAGAAGCACCGGCUAACUCCGUGCCAGCAGCCGCGGUAAUACGGAGGGUGCGAGCGUUAAUCGGAAUUACUGGGCGUAAAGCGCGCGUAGGUGGCUUGAUAAGCCGGUUGUGAAAGCCCCGGGCUCAACCUGGGAACGGCAUCCGGGACUGUCAAGCUAGAGUGCAGGAGAGGAAGGUAGAAUUCCCGGUGUAGCGGUGAAAUGCGUAGAGAUCGGGAGGAAUACCAGUGGCGAAGGCGGCCUUCUGGACUGACACUGACACUGAGGUGCGAAAGCGUGGGUAGCAAACAGGAUUAGAUACCCGGGUAGUC